AUGGAACGGUUCAACGACGAGCAGUACGUGCGGCUGCGGAACCGCAAGCUCGGCAAGUACUACCUCCACGCCGACGACGACGGGGUGGGCGUCUCCAUCAGCCAGCGCCGCAACUCGCUGAACGUGGCGUGGAGGGUGCACAUCUACCACGCCGCCGACGGCCCGUACCUGCUCCUCCACAGCGCCGCCUACGGCCGCUACCUCGCCGCCACGGCCACGCCGGCGACGGCCUUGUACCACGGCUUCCGCGCCGAGCUGCGCGACUACGACCAUCCGGUGGUGCCGGAUAUCAUGUGGCUGGACAUCAGGGCGGGGCUGGGGCGUGGCGUGCUGCUCCAAAACGCUGGCGACCGCUACCUCCGCGCCAACGGCAAGUACCUCAGCUGGAACUCCGGCGUCACCGUCGAGAACAGAGAUAUUGAGAAUGGGAAGGUCAGCUCCAUGAUGCGCUGGAUCGUCGAGCCCAUCGCCCUCACAGAGCGCGCGCCUCGCAUUCCAGACCCGAUUCGGGCCCGCCUCCCUGAAGACCUCUCCGUCGUCGUGUUAGGGCGCCAGCCAGGGGCGUGGCGGGGGAUUCGGUUCGUGCAAACGAGCAACGAGGGGCUCUACAACGAGGCCGGGCAAGGCUGGGCCGGAGACCAUAUCAGGGGGAGGUCCUUGUACUACCUGAGGGACAAGCUGGCUAGACGGGUCAACCAGCAGCCCGACCGCAUCGCCAUGUGCAUCCGAGCGGGCUGCUACGGGAGGCUGACCCCACUCGUCGUCGACCUGCCCCGCAGUGGCUGGGGCGACAUCUACCAGAUCGUCGUCAUCAUCUCCGGGACCCCUGCCUAUGCUGCGCUGCGAUACCCGAAUGUCGGCGGAGCGUAG
rnacentral:rRNA from 1 species